CAGCUUUGACGUGACCAUUCCUUAAGGCCAAAGUCAUUUGUCUCUUUCUGUGAUAUAUUUAGCUGAAGUAAAUCCAUCGACAUGGCCAGUAGAGGCUGGGUUUUACGUCCCGUCACCAGAGUCCAGAAAACAAUGGCCACACCAAACUGGAUAUUCCGUGUUUCUAUUUUAUUUCUAGCAGGACAGCCGACUUUUAGCACGGUAA